AAACCAGCACCUCAAGUGGUCAGGAUGAUUAUUGGGCCUAAAGCAUCCGUAGCCUGCUUUGUAAGUUUUCGGUUAAAUCCAUAUGCUCAACAUAUGGGCUGCCGGGAAUACUGCACAGCUAGGGAGUGGGAGAGGUAGACGGUACUCGGUAGGAAGGGGUAAAAUCCUUUGAUCUAUUGAUGACCACCUGUGGCGAAGGCGGUCUACCAGAACACGUCCGACGGUGAGGGAUGAAAGCUGGGGGAGCAAACCGGAUUAGAAACCCCAGUAGUCC
rnacentral:rRNA from 1 species